UACAGGGGGGGGCAAGCGUUGUUCGGAAUUACUGGGCGUAAAGGGUUCGUAGGUGGCCAUUUAAGUCAGACGUGAAAUCCCUCAGCUCAACUGGGGAAUUGCGUCUGAAACUGGAUGGCUUGAGUGCAGGAGAGGAAUGCGGAAUUCCAGGUGUAGCGGUGAAAUGCGUAGAUAUCUGGAGGAACACCGGUGGCGAAGGCGGCAUUCUGGACUGUAACUGACACUGAGGAACGAAAGCCAGGGGAGCAAA
rnacentral:rRNA from 1 species